UUUCAAAUCAACCCUAAUUUUUCUUUCUCGUCUCCACCUCUCGCACGUCUGAGUCGUCUCUCAUCAAAAAAACCUGCCCAUCGUCUACUUCCGGCAACACCCAAGCUAUGCCCAUCGUCCAGGUCGACCAAGCACCUAUACUAAUGAUAUAUUUAUAACAUCAAACCUGUGCGAAUCGAAAUCCAUAGCAAAUUUCGUCUUCAACGAAACCGGAAAGUUCAAACCCAAAUUUCGGUGCGGGCGAUGCGAACCAUGGUCGUGGACCACCUUCCCUACGACUACCUCAUCAUCAUGAAGCUUUUGCACAUAUUGGUCAUCAGCAAUUUGGACUCAAUUUGGCUCUGCUCUCUAAAUGCCAUGUCUCUGCACCCUCUGUUAGUAACUGUGGCUAUGAGUUUACUUAUUCUUUCUUUCUUUUCUUUUCAUUAAUUUCAGCAAUUUCUCACCAUUUGCCAAUUUGCAACUCGUGUGAUUUUGCCAACUUGAUGCUAGGCUUUCCCAUGUACUGGCAUGUUGUCUAUUCCUGAUGGUCGGGUCCUUACACGUUUCUCUUAGUUUAGCAGAAACAUUUGGUGAUUAAACAUAUUGAGACACAGUGAGGAGAAAAAAGCUGCAGAAAAUGUCUAGAUGAAGUCAAUUCACUGCAUGUUGGAUUGUUACAUUUUGCUUAUCUCCUUGACAAAUUUCUGCACAUACACGUCGCCAAAGAAUGAGUUUACUCAAAAUUCGGGAAAGUUUCUAAACAACCCACAUCUUAAAACUUUUAAAUAUUUUUACAAUUUCAAUUAGUCUAACACAUUUUUGUAAGAUAUUCAAUUUAUGAGCAAGUGAUAUGAAAAAAUUUGUUGUUCAUGACUUCAUCUGAUGACCAGGAAUUGUGUUUAAUAUAUGAUUUAUGAAAUUGAUUAUAUGAUAUCUUUAUUAGUCGGAAUUUAGAAAUGUAUAUGAAAUGAACAUUUGUCCUUUAAAACAGGUACCCUAGAUUGCUUCUAUGAGUAGAAAAUGAUCGAGUUGUAUUGGGGAAAUUGGGAUGACGAUCUAAGAAAAUUUUGCUUUCUUGGACAACCGAGGAAAAAGCUUCCACAUAAAGACUUGUAUGCCUUUGCUAUUGUUCUAUAUCGCAUAAGCCAUAAAGCUGCUUGAGAGGUAUUGUAAUUGGGAGUUUGAUUGGGGAUGGAAAUUGAAUGUGAUAAUGUCGUCGAAGUCACAUCCUCUAGGGUGUCUAAAUUUCGUCGAAGUUGUGUAGGACAAAAUACAUUGUCUAUGGUUUGGAGAUGAUAUGGUCAUCUUUAUUUCAUUAAGUAAUGUACAAUUUUCCAUGGUGCUACGUUAAGAUCUUAGAAGUUUUUAACUAUGACUUACACCAAAAUUGAAGUAGACAAGUGGAAGAGUGUUGUGGGUUGGAGGAUAGAACAGAGAAGAUCUUGGCUUCCUUGCUGUUUAGAAGAAGUUGAAGGCAUAGACCGGACAGUGUUGAGCCAACACUACCCAGUUGACUAAUGGACUGUGCUGGGCCCUGUCUAGCCAAGUUGUGCCAGACCUGUGAGUUUUAUUGUCAUUUGAUUUUAAUAUGAAGAAAUUGUAAGAGGUUAUUUCUUGAAGAUAACUACAGAUAAUUAUCGUCAAUAACACUUGUAUAGACUAAUAUUAAUACAGCUGAACUGAGUUCUCUUACAAGUAAUUGAAGUGUUUAAAUUAAUGACUCUUAAGAUAUUCGAGUUUGUUAACGAGUUAAAUUAUAACUGUGAUGGUAC
rnacentral:lncRNA from 1 species